UCUAAAGUACCCUAUCUCAUUCCCUCAACUCUCUUCUCUUAGCCUCACCCUCUCUCUUCUCGUCUCUUUAUCUCCCUCACAUCUAACCUCUCGUAUCUCUCUCCAAGUCUUCUCUUGCAGGUGGCUGGCAUAGGAGUCUCGACGGAGACGGCAACGGCGACGAGGCUCGACCGAAUAAUCAACACUCCACGUUUCUUUCUUUCUUUUUGGUCGGGUAUAUUUAAAACUUUCUCCUAUUUCCCUAAUAUGCUCUUAGCCCUAACACUAAAUUCAUUCUCUUGCAUUCUUAAUGAGCAGAAACAAGAGCAAUAUGCUUCCCCUUUUCCUGUAGGAUGAAGCCUCUCUCUCUCUCUCUCUCUUUGUUGUUGAACGUUGCUUUCUUGUCUCGCCAUUUACUGUAGUGGCUGCUUAUUUAUGGAAGUGACAGUGUUGCAAUUCAACUAGCAGAUGAGAAACAUUGGGAUGAUCUAGUCAUAAUCGUUGCAAUGGUAAGUUCACGACAGAAGGUAAUAAGUAGCAUUUCAGGAAUGCGUGAGACUAUUGAAAUAAGCUUGCUUUUACAACAUAGGGCAAAGGUAUAUCUCUAUUUUUUUUUGUCUUUCUCACAGUUAUGACUGUAACACUAAUCAUAGUUUGAUUAAACUCUUGACACUAAUCAUAGUCUUAACUAUUGAGAAUGCUAACUCUUUUUUUUUGAAUUGUUGUAGGAAGUAGUACCAAUUCUUACUUUGGAAAGACUAUUGGCAACAAGAGUGUAUACAAGGGCAAGAAGAAGAAAUGUAUCUUGUUGGACAAUGAAUUUAGUGUUUUUUUUUUUGUAAUUUUUAUUAGAGUAAAUGAUUCUUUGUAAAUACUUUGUAUAAGUUAUUAUUUUAAUCUAUAAUUUUUUAG